GACGUAGGGUCCGAGCGUUGUCCGGAGUUACUGGGCGUAAAGCGUGCGCAGGCGGUUCGUUGUGUCGGCGGUGAAAGCCCCGGGCUUAACCUGGGAAUGGCCGUUGAAACUGGCGAACUGGAGUGUGGCAGAGGGGGGUGGAAUUCCGCGUGUAGCAGUGAAAUGCGUAGAGAUCGGGAGGAACACCAGUGGCGAAGGCGGCUACCUGGACCAGCAUUGACACUCAAGCACGAAAGCGUGGGGAGCAAACAGG
rnacentral:rRNA from 1 species